rnacentral:rRNA from 1 species
UAUCAUAUGCUUGUCUCAAAGAUUAAGCCAUGCAUGUCUAAGUACAAACUAUAUUAAAGUGAAACCGCGAAAGGCUCAUUAAAUCAGUUAUGGUUCAUUAGAUCGUACCACAUAUAUACUUGGAUAACUGUGGUAAUUCUAGAGCUAAUACAUGCAAACAGAGCUCUGACCGGAGACGGAAAGAGUGCUUUUAUUAUAUCAAAACCAAUCGGUAGCGAACAAUGCGUUUUGCGACAAUUUGUUCGUUUGCCGUAUAAAUUAUAAAUGGUGAAUCUGAAUAACUUUAUGCUGAUCGCAUGGUCUUGUACCGGCGACAUAUCUUUCAAAUGUCUGCCUUAUCAACUGUCGAUGGUAGGUUCUGCGCCUACCAUGGUUGUAACGGGUAACGGGGAAUCAGGUUCGAUUCCGGAGAGGGAGCCUGAGAAACGGCUACCACAUCCAAGGAAGGCAGCAGGCGCGCAAAUUACCCACUCCCGGCACGGGGAGGUAGUGACGAAAAAUAACGAUACGGGACUCAUCCGAGGCCCCGUAAUCGGAAUGAGUACACUUUAAAUCCUUUAACAAGGAUCAAUUGGAGGGCAAGUCUGGUGCCAGCAGCCGCGGUAAUUCCAGCUCCAAUAGCGUAUAUUAAAGUUGUUGCGGUUAAAAAGCUCGUAGUUGAAUUUGUGUCUCACACUGUUGGUUCACCGCCCGCGGUGUUAACUGGCAUGUUUUGUGAGACGUCCUGCCGGUGGAUGUGUUCUUGUUUUGGGGUUAUUAUGAUUGUAUUUUUAUUUAUGUUUUAUUCUCAUAUGCCUUUCUAAUUAUACAUCUACACGGAUAUUUCAUCUUUAAUUAGUUGUCUAUAUCGGUGUUUUGUAUAUUUUAGACGAGUGUCAUAUGAGGGCAUUUAUAAUAUACAUGAUGAUUUCUUUGAAACAACCAUCCGUAUAUAUGUUAUUCUUCUUUCGAGUUGAAUUUAUACAUAUAUAAUCCUAUCGCAGUGCUCUUAAUUGAAUGUUGAGAUAGGCCGGCACGUUUACUUUGAACAAAUUAGAGUGCUCAAAGCAGGCUUAUAUAUGCCUGAAUAAUUAGUGCAUGGAAUAAUAAAACAGGACCUCGGUUCUAUUUUGUUGGUUUUUCUAUUAGAACAUACGAGGUAAUGAUUAAUAGGGACAGAUGGGGGCAUUCGUAUUGCGACGUUAGAGGUGAAAUUCUUGGAUCGUCGCAAGACGGACUAAAGCGAAAGCAUUUGCCAAAGAUGUUUUCAUUAAUCAAGAACGAAAGUCAGAGGUUCGAAGGCGAUCAGAUACCGCCCUAGUUCUGACCAUAAACGAUGCCAGCUAGCGAUCCGCCAAUGUUCCUCCGAUGACUUGGCGGGCAGCUUCCGGGAAACCAAAGCUUUUGGGUUCCGGGGGAAGUAUGGUUGCAAAGCUGAAACUUAAAGGAAUUGACGGAAGGGCACCACCAGGAGUGGAGCCUGCGGCUUAAUUUGACUCAACACGGGAAAACUCACCAGGCCCAGACACUGGAAGGAUUGACAGAUUGAUAGCUCUUUCUUGAUUCAGUGGGUGGUGGUGCAUGGCCGUUCUUAGUUGGUGGAGUGAUUUGUCUGGUUAAUUCCGAUAACGAACGAGACUCUAGCCUAUUAACUAGACGUUACACAUUACCGGUAUCUUGAAGGUUUACAUCUUUUGUUCAACUCAUUUUAUAUAAGGUGUGGAUUAAAAUUUUACUUUUUUACUUGUUGUAGUCUCCAUUAGUGGUUUCUACACUGGUAUUCUUGUAUCUAUUUUAAUCGCCCAUAUUUUAUUAUGAGCGCAAUUGUAUGUGGCUUUUACUACCGGCGUACAUAUAUAUCUUCUUAGAGGGACAGGCGGCUUCUAGCCGCAUGAGAUUGAGCAAUAACAGGUCUGUGAUGCCCUUAGAUGUUCUGGGCCGCACGCGCGCUACACUGAAGGAAUCAACGUGUUUUUUCCUUGUCCGAAAGGACCGGGUAACCCGUUGAAACUCCUUCGUGCUAGGGAUUGGGGCUUGCAAUUAUUCCCCAUGAACGAGGAAUUCCCAGUAAGCGUGAGUCAUAAGCUCGCGUUGAUUACGUCCCUGCCCUUUGUACACACCGCCCGUCGCUACUACCGAUUGAAUGAUUUAGUGAGGUCUUUGGACUGGUACUCGGUGAUGUUUUAUACAUUACCGAUGUCGCUAGGAAGAUGACCAAACUUGAUUAUUUAGAGGAANA